CAGAGACUCACUCUGCAGACUGUCUGGUUGCCAAAGAACCAGUAACAAUGUACCCCAUAUAAUCAGUUGACCAAUCAAUAGAGAAACAGGUUACUAAAGCAGAAAUGGUGAAUGGGUGUGGCCCAUCUCCAAAAGGGCUUAAGAACAUUUGGAGUUGCUGUUUAUCUGUCUGUCUGUGACAAGCUAAGUUAACUAACACACGAGGUUUCCAUGAGCUUCAUUCUGUUCAACUCUCUCUGCUAUCAUCGCGAUAAGUAUCCAACUCCUGUUUCCAGACAUUUCCACAUGAUACUUGCUACAUACAAAACAAACACAGAGAAAAACCAGGAAAAUUUCACAUUCAGACAUGUUUGCUGCAAGGGAUAGAAGAUACAACUAGCAGUUAUCUUCACAGCUGAACACAUCCUAGUAAAAGAUAUUUUAGCAGACUUUUCUCCCUACUACAAAUUCCACAGAAGGAUGAACAAUAACUAUAACUAUCUAUGAAGAGAGAGACGCUGCAGAAUUGAGCCCUCAAGCUGCAAAAUCUGAAAGAGAUGUUCACAACUGAAGUCAGAGAAACUUAAACCCCAG